AAAGGGCAUCCAAUUUGCCAUAAAACUGUUACGAUUUAAUGAACACUCCAUGUAUGGGGUCGGACCGCAGUAAAUGAAACCAAUGUAUACAAAUCGCGACGACCCGCAUCUAAAUUUCGCCGGCUUGAGUCAAGAUUUUGUUGAAUUCCGGAACACCCGACCUCGGUUCAGAGCAAGAUUUUGUGUUUAUUCGUUGAUUACAGUGGAUUUAAAAGCACGUGCAGAGCAAGAUAUUAGCAUAAAAGAAAGGGGAAACUCAUUGGCCUACCAAACAAUUUGUAUUGUUGUGUAAGCAACAACAGGACUCCUGAAUACUUUUGAAGGAAACCAUAUGUCAAAUACAUUUUCUAUACUCUGGACCAAUGGAAGGAUCCCUUACUACUACGAUUCCAUAAUUUGAUCUGUGCUGCCAGUUCACAAUCAUUUAUUACAAUGCUACUCCAAACCAUGAAGAAGACAAACUCAACCAGGAUUUUGACUAUUAAUUAAAAUGCUACCCAACCUCAUAGAGAACUUUCCCAAUCAGAAUAUUGACCUGUCUUUUUGAACCUGCUCUAAGAUUUCUGAUAAUUGUAUAAGUUAGGACCUAGACAUUUCCAGAAGUUGACUUUGAUCAAUAACUAACUAGAAGAAAUAAAUAUACUAGUAACAAGUAAAUUUAUGCUAAACAAGUCAUGAUUAGGAACCAGAGUAACAAAACUAGAUGAACAUCACAACUCUAUUAGGGUCAUUUAAAAAGAAUUUUAGUUUAGUUAUCUUACUUCAUCAGUUUUUAAAAUGCAUGGAAUUUCUUCUUUUUAUAGUAUAUAAGUAAAGAAAUAGUAGAGUUAUUCAGUUUUUCAUAACAAAGUAAUGCUAUCAUGUUUCCUACACAAUUUAUAUUACUUUCUUAAAAGUAAGAACACUUUUUGCAAAAUGUUAGGUAAUGAAAAUUCUUGAUUUUGGGCGUUAAGGAAGGAUGCCUUGUAUUGUUUUGCAGAAUGAUUAUUUUAUGUUUCUGUGUUUAUUAUAUAUUAAGAACAUCAUGUGCUUUAAGUUGGUGUAAAAUUUAUUGAGAUACCUUACUUAAAUAUUUUUUAAUCAUUUUUUUGAAAAAGGAUGAAAUUUCUAAUUUUUAUAAACUGACCUUGCUGAAUCUGGUCUCGCUAAUUACUUUCUUUAUUAAUUCUUUACCUGCUUAUUUCAUAUUAACAUGCUUUGAAUUUCCUUUCUUAGAACAUUUAUAUUAUUAAUGUGGCUUAAUUAGUUGAUUUUCUAUGAUUUUUUAAAAAUGACUGUAAAUUAACUUUUUGUCUCCCUUUUUGUACUUUGGUAAAAU